GAGGGUAUAGCUCAAAUGGUAGAGUGUUUGCUUAGCAUGCAUGAGGUCCUGGGUUCAAACCCCAGUACCUCCU
rnacentral:tRNA from 1 species